rnacentral:rRNA from 1 species
UACGAAGGGGGCUAGCGUUGCUCGGAAUCACUGGGCGUAAAGGGCGUGCAGGCGGUCUGUUAAGUGCAGGGUGAAAGCUCCCGGCUCAACUGGGAGAGGUCCUUGCAUACUGGCGGACUUGAGGGGGGUAGAGGAAAGUGGAAUUCCCGGUGUAGUGGUGAAAUGCGUAGAGAUCGGGAGGAACACCUGUGGCGAAGGCGGCCCCCUGGGCCGGCCCUGACACUGAGACGCGAAGGCGUGGGGAGCGAACGGG